UGAGGGGACCAGCCAGUCCAAUGAAAGGGUAGUUACCCACGGGCUCCAAUUGAACAGGUUAUUCUGCCUGACCUUUUGAAGGAUGUCGUGGAUUAUACCAGACUUGUUGGCAUAGAAACAAAAUGUUUCUGGUGCAGUGGGUUUGUCUCUGUCCCCUGCCCUGCUUCCCUUGUUGAGCCCUCAGCUCUUGGUUCCCAAGUUCCCCCUCCAUCAGUCCCCUGGCCCCUGGGUGAGGUCUGGGGUCCCUGCUAGGGUAUUCAGAGCAGCUUCUGGCCACAUUUACAUUUUGUGAAGAUUAUUGAUUACUGGAUUACUAAUAACCAAUGAUCUCCCCCUCUAGGAUUGAACUGUUUGCACGCAGAGGCCCCAUCUGGUUCUGCUCAUUGCUAUGGCCUGGGGCCAGCACAGGACCCCAUACAUGAGGGAAACCCAGUGUCCAGAGGAGUUUCCCAGCGCAACUCAGGAGGGAAGGCUCCUUGAGCUGGUCUUUAGUCCUCCCCAUCCUUGUGGUCCUGCAGCUAUAGAAGAUGUUGUGCAUUCUCUCCAGAAAGCCAGGCUUUCCACCAUCCUGCAUUGCUUCUCAAAAACAACAAUAAAGUCCAGAAUCCAAAAUGGCACCCAG